rnacentral:lncRNA from 1 species
GGGGGGGGGGGCGGGGCGGGGCGGUAAGGCUCAGGCAUGGCGGGCUGCAGGUCCUGAUCCCUGCCCGGCGGGGAGGCAGCUAAGGCCUGGCGAGAAAUCGAGCACAGCAGCUGCUGGCCCAGGUGCUAAGCCCCUCACUGCCCGGGAUCGGCGGGGCUGGCCGGCAGCUCCCAGUGCGGGGCCCUCCGAGCCCACGCCCCACCGGGAACUCCCGCUGGCUCGCAAGCGCCGGGCGCAGCCCCAGUUCCCGCCCGCGCCUCUCCCUCCUCACCUCCCAGCAAGCUGAGGGAGCCGGCUCCGGCCUCGGCCAGCCCAGGAAGGGACUCCCACAGUGCAGCGGCGGGCUGAAGGGCUCCUCAAGUGCCGCCGGAGUGGGCGCCCAGGCAGAGGAGGCGCCCAGAGCGAGCGAGGACUGCGAGGACUUGCCAGCACGCUGUCACCUCUCACUUCCAGAACUAGCCACAUCUCUAAGGAGCUCUCAUUCCUGUUAAUGAAGAAUGAUAUUUACAAACCAAAAUCCAGGAACUAGGUUUAGGAGCAAGAUAAUGGAAUAGAAGCCUACAACAUUUGCUCUCCGACCCCACUGGAAAACCAAAUGACUCUUGGGUUUCCUGACACCAGGCCUAGGUGGUGGGACAGCAUUUCUGGACCUGCCCUGGGAAAGAAGGGAGCUUAACAGUCCUGAAAGGACAGACUAGUUCUCCGUCCCUUGCAGCUCAUGGGCUGAGUUCUGACCAAUGGGAUGUAGACAGAGAUGAUGCGCAAUCUUGAAAGGAUAUUACUCUGUCGCCCAAGCUGAAGUGCAGCGGCAUGACCAUAGCUCAUUGCAGUCUCAACCUCCUGGGUUCAAGUCAUCCCCGUGCCUCAGCCUCCCAAGUAGCUGGGACUGCAGGUGUGUGCCACCACUCCCAGCUAAUCUUUUAUUUUUUGUAGAGGUGGAGUCUCACUAUAUUGUCUAGGCUGAUCUCGAAUUCCUGGGCUCAAGCAAUCCUGCCACCUAGGCCUCCCCAAUUCUGGGAUUACAGACCUGCAAGAUAAGGUUGAAUAGUUGUGUACAGCAUCCUCGCCUCAAAUGGAGAUCUUUCAAAGUGUCACUCUUUAGCAGGAAAGAUUUCUUGCAACCUCAUGAAAGACCUUGACCAGCCAUGACUACCCAUCUAACAUGCUGUCUAAUUCCUGACCUAUGGACACUGAUUUCAAAGAGAGGCUGUUUGCUUGACUGAAGGAAGUGCCUUUUGACAGAAGAUGCAAUUUAUGUUAUAUGAAUGAUAUUUCUGAUGGCCAAAAGGACCUGUGAUAGCCUGAGAGUCAAAGACAAGCAGGAACGCAUCUGUAGUCAAACAAGGUCAGGUUUAUUUAGUGGACUGCAUCAAAUAAGAACACCCCCAAAUAGGAACUUGGGGCACCUCAGUAAUGGAGAUUUCACAGGAGUUGUUUAUAUGUUUGUGCUUGUGCUUGAUAUUCCCAAGGCAGAUAUGGAAUGAAUCCUGGCUUGGAUUGGUUCUUGUCAACAAGGAGGAGCAGGUUAGCAAUCAGAUUCUCGGUAUUCAUUGUUCAGGUGGUGCUGUAUGUCCCCUCCAAAAGCAUGUUGAAAUUUAAUUGCCAAUAUAAUUGUAUUGUGAGGUAGGACCUUUAAGAGGGGUUUGGCUCAUUGAAGCUCCACCCUCAUGAAUAGAUUAAUGUCAUUAUCGUGGGAGUGGGAUUGUUAUCAUGGGAAUGGGCUCCUGAUAAAAGAGUGGUUUCUGCCUGAUCUCCUCUUUCCCUCUCUCGCAUGCUCACUUGCCCUUCCACCAUAUUAUGAUGCAGCAGGAGGGCCCUCACCAGAUGCUGAUAACAUUUUUUUAACUUCUCAGCCCUCAAAACUGUGAAGAAUAAUUUCUUUCUUUUAUACAUCACCUAGUCUGUGCUAUUCUGUUAUAGCAGAAGACAAUAAACUAAGACAGACAUCGGGAAAACAACACGGGCUUGGGGACAUCAUUUAUAAGAAAGUGAUAAUCACUCAGAGAAAAAAAUGAUUAGUCAUAUUUUCAGCUAUAGUGUGGCCUUUUGUAUAAGCACUGUAUACAAAAAUGCUAUAUCCCAUUGGAAGCAUUUUUUUUUUUUUUUGAGAAGGAGUCUCACUCUGUAACUCAGGCUAGAGUGCAGUGGCACGAUCUCGGCUCACUGCAACCUCCUCCUCCUGGGGUCAAGCGAUUCUCCUGCCUCAGCCUCCCGAGUAGCUGGGACUACAGGUGUGCACCACCGGGCCCAGGUAAUUUUUUUGUAUUUUUGGUAGAGACAGGAUUUUACCAUGUUGGCCAGGCUGGUCUCGAACUCCUGACCUUUUCACUUUCUCAAAAAGAAUAUUGUGACACAACCAUGAAGUGAAGAGUUCUAAGAUCCAACAUAGUCUCACUGAGUUGAUGCAUGUUUUUACCUGACUUCUGAUCAUUUUAUAAACAAUUAAAAUAGUACAGCGGGACAGGACCUUAGAAAUUGUCAUUAUAUGUAUGGAGAGCCUGGAGCACAUUCCCAGGGUCUGCCAAGCAGUUUGUGCCAAAAGAAGGAUUAGGACCCAGAUCUCUGACAAUUAGACAAGGAUCCUUCACAGGACAUCUAUUUUCAUCCUGGUACACACACACACACCUGUACCAAUUUCAGGGGUAAAGUAUUUUGCAAGUGAUUUACUACUAAUAAGAGUGAAAAUACUGGAGUGAUUCUCUAUUACUGUUUUCUCACUGUAAAAAUUUCAAGCAUACAAUCAUAAUAAAGUUAUCUCUUUACUUCAAUCUCCUUUCUCAUCUCCAUAUGGAUAAAUAUGUGUAUCUGACUAUUAUAUUAAAGUAAUGAUAUAGUAGUACAUAUUGUUUUGCUGUUGGCUUUUCCCAAUUAAUAACACACUUUGGAUACUGUUCUGUGUCAGUGUCAAUAAAAUCUGUAAACAUAGAUAACAUUAUUUUAUUAUUUUACAAGGUGAAGAUGUCCUUAAUGAUAUUCAAUAUACUUUUCUACAUUUACAGACUAUGUACAUUUUGUAGAUAGAACUUUUUUAUUAAAAUUAACGUUAUUAACCAUUUAUUUAAAAUACUCACAAAUAUUUUUAUUCAAAAAUUAUCUUGAGUAGUAAGGUUAUUGAGAUGCACAAUAAAUGAGCUACGUACUGCUUAUGAGAGAUGGUAGGCCAUUCUUUCUGUGGAUCAUAAGAAAUAUUUUAAAUAAAUAAAUAGUUUGAAU